UCCUAGCCCAGAUUGAGCGGCAUGUCUGAGCUCUUUUUUGGAUUCGGCGGCGGCAAAAGCCGCCGCCGAAUCCAAAAAAAGCGAGUAGCGAAAGCUGGAAAAAGC
rnacentral:misc_RNA from 1 species